rnacentral:rRNA from 1 species
UACGGAGGGGGCUAGCGUUGUUCGGAAUCACUGGGCGUAAAGCGCACGUAGGCGGAUCUUUAAGUCAGGGGUGAAAUCCCGAGGCUCAACCUCGGAACUGCCUUUGAUACUGGGGAUCUCGAGUCCGGGAGAGGUGAGUGGAACUGCGAGUGUAGAGGUGAAAUUCGUAGAUAUUCGCAAGAACACCAGUGGCGAAGGCGGCUCACUGGCCCGGAACUGGACGCUGAGGUGCGAAAGCGUGGGGAGCAAACAGGGAUUAAGAUACCCCGGG